rnacentral:rRNA from 1 species
GACGUAGGUGACAAGCGUUGUCCGGAUUUACUGGGCGUAAAGAGCGCGCAGGCGGUCGUUCAAGUCGAGUGUGAAAGCCCCCGGCUCAACUGGGGAGGGUCAUUCGAUACUGAUCGACUCGAAGGCAGGAGAGGGAAGUGGAAUUCCCGGUGUAGUGGUGAAAUGCGUAGAUAUCGGGAGGAACACCAGUGGCGAAGGCGACUUCCUGGCCUGUUCUUGACGCUGAGGCGCGAAAGCUAGGGGAGCAAACGGGG